CUUAUUCCUACAUUCUACGUCUAACUCUUACAGCAUGACUCUCGCCGCACCGCCGCACCGCCGCACCUGUACUUCAGCGCCGCCGCACUUGGACCUCACCCCGUAUGGUUGCCAAGAAUCCGUUAAGUUUGAGUGCUGAUCCAUAAACGGGCUGUUUCGUUUCACGGUCAAGAAGAAAGUUCCCUGCAAAGGAGAAGAUAGUAAAUCUUGCAUUAAAGACAUACUUGUAAGUUGAUCAAUACUUCUAGAGAAAUGAUGCAAAGCUUUAAUUCUUGUACAAUGUUAUCUGACUGUUUAUUGAAUUCUAACUAUAUCUCAUUCUGAGUAGAACACACCAAAGUUACUGUUUUAUAUAUGUGAUCACAAAUAUAAAACAGUAACUUCUGCAUCUUGGCCUCAUGUUUCUCGUAUCAUUAGCCUUCUCAAAAGACUCUCCUAAUUGGAGUCUUGCAGCCUUGAAAUCUGCUCUCAUCACAUAUAUCAUGUCUCACAAAAUGUUAUAUUUUUGUGUAGCUUGGUUAUUCCUAUAUACACAUGUUAAUGUGAUGUAAAUUCUUAGUGAACAAUCUGUAUCAAUUUCAUAAUUAAUAGAUAUAUGAUGCUAACUAAUAUCUUAAACUUGGUUGGAAAUUAUAUAUUAUAAUUUGACUUGAGGGAUGUAAGUCUACUACUAAUUAUAAGUAGAAGGUAGAGGGAGUUUGAAUCUUAUCCCUAUUCCACACAAUUUUGUUAUUCUGCUUUUAUCAUACAAAAAUUAUUAUUUCUCACCAAGAAAAAAGGAUGUGUAUGGAUACACCAUCGUUUAAAGACAUUUUUAGAGUUAUUAUUGGAGGAGGAUAAAGCAAGUGUUAGUAUAAGAAUUAUGUCUAAACAAAAGGUAUUUUAAUAAUUAUUUUGUCAGGGAUGUGGGAGAGGAAGAAAAGUUUAGAUCCAUUUCCUACCAUAGUGAGAAACUUGCCCUUGCAUUUGCUUUAAUUAGAAAGCCCAAUGGGAUUUCACCGAUACGGAUCAUAAAGAAUAUACGUGUCUGUGAUGACUGCCAUGUAUUUAUGAAGUUUGCAUCAAUUACUAUAGGGCGACCAAUCAUUAUGAGAGAUUCAAACAGGUUUCAUCAUUUCUUUGAUGGGAAGUGUUCUUGCAAGGACAAUUGGUAAAGUCUCAAUCAGAUGUUUAUCUGCUUUGACUGUUUCUAAAAGGAAGGGUGCUAGCAAUGUAAUAUGCACUUUAUCCAUUCUAUAAGAUUUUGAAACUAGGGAGAAAGCCAUGAUACGGUUCAAAACUUCCUAGUAUUAAAGCAGGUGUGUAGCACAAGAAUACUACGUGAGAAGUACAAGUUACAGUAUUACCUCGAUGAAAAUUUCUUGUGACAGCAGUGCAAUUUAAGAUGUUUUGGACUAUGAGACAAGUAUGCUCUUAAUUCAUUGAUCAAUACUUGACAUUGAAUGAGCUGGUUUGAGCUUUGAAUGGAAGUGUCGAAAAAUACUCUUACAAAAGUUGCAGGGAAAUUGGGCCUAUAUAUUGUUUGUAGCAUCUGCUGUUGAAUAUUUUGGUAGAGGCAAUCAAUACCUUGAGGGAUGAACAUAACAGUCAGCACCACCUGAAUGCGAUUGGAUCUUAAAUCUUCAGUUGUCAUCUCUAGUAUCAAUACCUGAAUUCAUUGAUACGCCUGCAUUUAUAAUGUCCUCCGAGGGUUCUAUGCUUUUGACUUUUGCGAUAGGUGUCCUGUCAACUAAGAUGUGGUCUAGGAAGCUCUUUUAGGGUAAGUAAUGUUUAAAAUGGUUUCAAUUUUGAGUAUCAUUCUUAUAUAAUUAUUGGUUCAUUAUUCUUGUGAAAGUUAAAAUGCAUGCUUUGGUCUAGCAUGAUUAUAUGAUGAGGUUUAGGACCCAAUCAAGCCAUAGUAAAUCAAAUUUAGUUCUACAAGAAAUUUAAUCUUACACCAAGUAAAUAAUCUCAUGAUUGUCAUAUGUUAAUAAAUAAUUUUUAUGUAAAUUCUAAUGUAGGGAUUUACUAUGGCUAUAAUUCAGCAACUGGACUUAUAUUAAUGACUUUCUUUGAGGAGUUACUAGAUGCUUCAAGUUUAUGUAGUUUUACACAAUUCAAUGGAUCCUGUUUCUAACAUGAAUGCGUUGGUCUUGCUUCAACAGUUGAUUAUGUAGUUGACGUUAUAUGGUACUCUAGUCUAUCCUAUAUAUGCAACCAAUUGAUUUGCUAUUAAAUGAUGUUUUCAGUUUAUGUUAUAUAUGAGAAAAGUCUGGUAUUUAAAAAUUUAUAGAGAACAGUUUCUUAUUCAAACUAUGAGGUUUAACCAAAUUACAAUAUAGUUAUAUGUCAUAAAAUCACAAUCACAAUCAAUCAAGGAAUUUUGUAGAUUUUCUUCCUAGUCAAAUUGAUGGUUGCUAUGUUGGAGGAUUUUUUUUAAGAGGUGGUGAAAGUGCCUCUGGUGAAGAAUUGGUACUUUUGAUUUUGCUGAGCUCUAUUUGUUACUAUGGUGAGUUCCAUUGAACAAAUUACAUUUGUGACACAAUGGCAACAUUAUUUAACUGUUUCUUUGUGUUUAAUAUGUGUCCUUUAUUGCUUCCCUUUCGGUUGACUGUAAUUAAUCUGUUAGUUUACUCUGCUCUCCUAGCCAUCUCAAUAUAAUACGUGAUAUCUGUUUAAUCUUACUGUAUUCUUGUUUUAAGAAUUAAUUAUUGUGAAGUUCACACAUCUAGGAUUGGCUAUUUUAAUCACUGGAGUGCUUUGACCUUCGGUUUAGCUGCAUGUAGAUAUGUACAUAAAACGGUUUUCUUUUCUUUGCUUUAUAUUAAUUCUGCCCUAGAAGAUUCUUAGUAAGAGAAGAGUGAGAACUGAAGCUAAUUUUAUAAGGAUAUUUUGGAUACUUGAAAUAUAUUCUACCAUUGAAAGGGAAUGAAAAAUAAUCCUAUAUAGUUUAAGUACACAAGUCCGAAACCACAAAGCUGAAACAGUUGAGACUUGAAACCAGAAGCCAUUUUUGUUACAUAUAUAUGUACUUGCAUGCUUGUAUUUCAUUUUUCUUUUUCUGGGCUACCCGGAUUAUGUAUAGUUUACAUACAGAGUUUAACAUUUAUACACAAACAAACAUUUAAGAUGAAUCUUUCUUUUUCAGUUGCAUAUCUUAUAGAUUUGUACAUGUAGAAUAGAUUCAUAAGCUGAGAGCAGCUUUUUGAUUUAAUGCUCUUGCCGACCCAUAAGAAAUACUACUAAUUAAUGCUCUCACACCAAUUUUUUGUACAAUAAAGAAAGAUUAGUCGGUGUUAUUAAUUACAAAUCAUUUUUCUUGAAAAAACUGAUGAUAAUUAAACUUUCUCUAAAGGCUUCAACACGGUGUCUCAGACCAAUCAGUUUUUGAGUAAAUGGUGAUGACUUAUAUCUGCCAAUGAUAAAGCAUAUGUAUGCAUGCCUCUUUUAAAUUACAGGAAAAAGAAACUUCUGAAAGAUGUUUCUAGAUGCCUAUUAUUUAAGGGGGGGGAGAAACAUGCAAAAUAGUUAUCUCUUUCAUCAUCUCCAUUAUGAACAGACAAAAAAACCUACGUUGUUCUCAUAACCUUGUAGUUAACUUGUGUGGGAACACUCCAACAACAAUCCCUUUCAAAGAUUAAUAUAUGUAGCAGCUAAAACCAUUGAUAUUUGAAGUUUUGAAUUACAUAUCAAAACUUGCUAAUAAGAAAAACAUUUAUUUGGCAAACUUGACUGCUUUUGUUAAAUUUAGACACUAGGGAAGGGGACAGAAGGCCUCUUUGCAUGAGAUGCAUGUGAGACACUGUUUUGGAUUCUGCUCACUGAGUUUUUCCACUACUAUGUCAUCAUCAACCUACUUCUCUCA